CCCGUCGAGUCCGCCUACGCGGCGGAGGCGUCGGCCGCGCAUCCCUCGUGGGAGCGCGCCGGCGUCUCGUGCGUCGUGCGGCGGCCGUACUUUCGGCGGGCGGAGCGCCACGACCGGUUCGCCGGCGGCGAGAAACUCCCGUGCAAGGUGACCGUCGCCUCGGCGUCGGAGCAUAGAGGCACGGCGAGCGGAGGCCCGUCGGCGGACCGAGGAAGACCGUCGCGGUGCGGCGUCGACCGCCCGUCGUGGGCGCGCGUUCGACUCGGGGGGACUGGUUCCAGUGCCCUCGGACCGCGCGCGUUCAUCGGCGGGACGGCGCGGCGCCGCGCCUGGGGUCGGUGGCGAAACGGCCGGCAACCUGUCCGACCCGUCUUGAAACACGGACCAAGGAGUCUAACAUGUGCGCGAGUCGUUGGGCGUUACGAAACCCGAAGGCGGAAUGAAAGUGAAGGCCCGGUCUCCGGCCGGCCUAGGUGGGAUCCGGGCGGUCGCGGCCGUCCGGCGCACCACCGGCCCGUCUCGUUCGCGUCGUCGAAGAGGCGGAGCAAGAGCGUACACGUUGGGACCCGAAAGAUGGUGAACUAUGCCUGAGUAGGACGAAGCCAGAGGAAACUCUGGUGGAGGUCCGCAGCGAUUCUGACGUGCAAAUCGAUCGUCAAACUUGGGUAUAGGGGCGAAAGACUAAUCGAACCAUCUAGUAGCUGGUUCCUGUCGAAGUUUCCCUCAGGA
rnacentral:rRNA from 1 species